UACGGGGGGGGCAAGCGUUGUUCGGAAUUACUGGGCGUAAAGGGCUCGUAGGUGGCCAACUAAGUCAGACGUGAAAUCCCUCGGCUUAACCGGGGAACUGCGUCUGAUACUGGAUGGCUUGAGUUUGGGAGAGGGACGCGGAAUUCCUGGUGUAGCGGUGAAAUGCGCAGAUAUCAGGAGGAACACCGGUGGCGAAGGCGGAUCUCUGGGCCUGUUCUGACGCUGAGGCGCGAAAGCUAGGGGAGCGAACAGG
rnacentral:rRNA from 1 species